rnacentral:sRNA from 1 species
ACAACAACAAAAAAAUGUGACACCCAAUAAAAACAACAGGUAAACGGCUCUGACAUAACAAGAACAACACGGCAGAGGCGUAGCAAGCAGAGUUUUUUUGGAGUCGACACACUUUUCAGGGGUACGCCCCGCGGUCUGGCACAGAACAAUAAAACUACCUCCAGGUAGCGGCAGCCAGUUCGGAUCAGCAAUGAUGAAAGCAGGUCAGCGCUCAAAAAAAUAACGUUUGCUCUUGACCCCGCAUCGGGGGUCGCCCGCAACACCAGGACAGGCUGACAAAAACAAAAACGGGCCGGUCCCAAUAAUAAAAAAAGAGCAGGCAACAACGCUUUGAGGGGAGCUUCGGCUCCCCUCAGUGCUUCCUGCCCUCUUCCUCCUCCUGCUUUC